rnacentral:tRNA from 1 species
GCCACCUUAGCUCAGCUGGUAGAGCACUUCACUUGUAAUGAAGAUGUCGUCAGUUCGAUCCUGACAGGUGGCUCCA